rnacentral:rRNA from 1 species
AGAAUCAACGCUGGCGGCGUGCCUAACACAUGCAAGUCGAACGAGAAAGUGGAGCAAUCCAUGAGUAAAGUGGCGCACGGGUGAGUAACACGUGACUAACCUACCCUUGAGUGGGGGAUAACCUCGGGAAACCGGGGCUAAUACCGCAUAAUAUCGAGAGAUCAAAGGAGCAAUUCGCUUAAGGAGGGGUCGCGGCUGAUUAGCUAGUUGGUAGGGUAAUGGCCUACCAAGGCUAUGAUCAGUAUCC